rnacentral:lncRNA from 1 species
CGCGAGGAGGGCGGGGCGAGCGGCGCGGGCAGGGCGAAGGAGGAGGGGGGGGGAAGGUUCUGGAGGCCGCCGCCAUCUUUGCCGCCGCGUCCGGGGCCGCCGCCGCCGCCGCCGCCGCCGUUUCGGGGCUCAGGGGGGGCCGGUAAGGGCGACAGCGCUGUCGCGACAUGACGUCAUGUCCCCCCCAGAGCCGUGACGUCACGGUGGGGGCGGCGGGGGGCGCGGGGCGCGGGAGGGGAAGCGGCGGAGGGGGGGGAAGGGGGUGGGGGGGGGCGGGCGGGAAGCGGAGCGCGAUGGCGGCGCUGAGGGAGGGGGCGGGGCUUGUGAAGGGGGCGGGGCUUGAAUGGGUUAUUUAAAUAAAAGGGGGCGUGGUUUUGGCGGGGGGCGUGGCUUGGGCGACGUUGUGGUCAAUGGGAGGGGGCGGGGCUUGAGCGGGUUAUUUUAAUAAAACGGGGCGUGGCUUUGUGGAGGGGGCGUGGCUUGUGCGCCGUUGUUGUCAAUGGGAGGGGGCGUGGCUUGGGAGCCGUCGCUUUCCUAUAGGCGGGCCGUGACGUCAUCGCCGCCGAUGACGUAAUCUCUUUCUUUUCUGAUGACGUCACCGCAGAAAAACCCAAAUUCCGGGGGUUUUCCCCCCAAAAAACCCCCCGGGAUGGACUCAGGGGGAUCCAAAGCGCUGCCGGACCCGGCGGACGCGAUGACGUCAGACGACUUCGACAUCGUCAUCGAGGCCAUGCUGGAGGCGCCCUACAAGAAGGAGGAGGUGACGGAAUUCCCAAAAAAUUUGGGAAUUUUUUUCCCUUUUAUUUCCAUUUCCCCUCCCAAAUUUCCCUAAUUUUCCCCAAAUUUUCCCCAAAUUUUUCCCAAAUUUUCCCCAAAUUUCCAGAUUUUAAUUUACUUUUCCCACAAUUCCCAAUUUCAGAACCAAAUUUCCUCAAAUUUCCCAAAUUUUUUCGCAUUUCUCAAUUUUUUCCCAAGUUUUCCCCAAAUUUCCCCAUUUUUUGCAGUUUUCCCCUGAUUUUUCUCCAAUUUGUCCCAAUUUUUCCCCAAAUUUCUCCCAGAUUCCAAAUUUCCCCCAAUUUUCCUCAAUUUCCCCCAAUUUUUCACCAUUUUCCCCAUUUUUCCUCCAUUUUUCUCCAUUUCUCCCAAAUUUCUCCCAAAUUCUAAUUUUUCCUGAAUUUUUCCUAAAUUUCCC